rnacentral:rRNA from 1 species
GAUGAACGCUGGCGGCGUGCCUAAUACAUGCAAGUCGAGCGAACGGACGAGAAGCUUGCUUCUCUGAUGUUAGCGGCGGACGGGUGAGUAACACGUGGAUAACCUACCUAUAAGACUGGGAUAACUUCGGGAAACCGGAGCUAAUACCGGAUAAUAUUUUGAACCGCAUGGUUCAAAAGUGAAAGACGGUCUUGCUGUCACUUAUAGAUGGAUCCGCGCUGCAUUAGCUAGUUGGUAAGGUAACGGCUUACCAAGGCAACGAUGCAUAGCCGACCUGAGAGGGGGACCGGCCCCCCUGGAACUGAGACCCGGUCCAGCCCCCUAGGGGGGGCAGCGGUGGGGAAUCUUCCGAAAGGGGGGAAAGCCUGACGGAGCAACCCCGCGGGGGGGAUGAAGGUUUUCGGAUCGUAAAACCCUUUUUUUGGGGAAAAAAAUAUGUGUAAGUAACUGUGCACAUUUUGACGGUACCUAAUCAAAAAGCCCCGGCUAACUACGU